CCCUUUCCGCUCUCCCCCUCACGGAUCCUCUGCCCCCCCAUCUCUCCGUCCCGUUGGCGAACUUUGUUGAAGUGGCGAUGUGGUCCAACUACUUCGUGCAGGAGGAGGACUCUGGAGGGUUGCGCGGCGUGGCGGGCGGGGCCAGAGGCGGAGCCAGGGGCAGGGCGAAGAGAGGUGCCAGGGGAGCGGGGUGGAGCGACAGCCAGGAUGGGAAGGUGAAGCUGGCGUUCUUCGUGGCGAUCGUGGGGGUCACCCUCGCCAUGCUCGCUGUGGGGACGGAGUUCUGGGUGGAGCUCAACCCCCCCAAAUCCCUCUACAGCAACCACACCUGCCCCGCCGCACACUUUGGACUCUGGAAGAAGUGCUUCAACCUGCUCUUGGUGUCCGACAUCGACCCGGAGAGGGAGAGCUGCGGGCCAGCCGAGCUGCCUGGAGAGGUGAACUGCACCUAUUUCAGAUUCUUCACAACAGGAGAAAAUGCCGUCAUAUUUCAGAAGACUAUCAAGAAAGAGCUCAGUAUUGCUGCUGCAGUGCUGUGUUUGCUCAGUAUCACGCUGAUGAUCUUGGCUUCGAUGUGCAUCACCAUGGCGCUCAGUAAAGGGGUCGAGUUCCUCCUCAAGCCGGCCUCCUUCUUCUUCAUCCUGGCAGGUGUGCUGGUCCUCAUCUCUCUUGAGGUGUUCAGACAGUCAGUCUACGCUCUCCUCUCCUCUGAUCACACUGUCCCGCUCCAUCACAAGUUCUCCUGGUCUGUUGCCUGUGCGGGGGUGGCCGGGGCGACCCUCAUUUUCGGGGGUGUGUGCUUCGUCAUCCUCUCCUUACCCACAAGCCCCUGGGACAAGUGCCUCAACAAAGACAGACCAGAGUCCUAAGAAACGAAUCGUGAGAUAUUUGAGUGGCUGCCAAGGAAAAGCAAUUAGAUAUUGAAGGGGCAGGCUAAUAUAGUUCCAUUCUGCUGUACCUGCUGUAGUUCAGGAGAGAAGAGAGAGGGGAAAGGAGGACAGAGGAUGAGUGUGGAAGUAGUUUUGAAGACCUAAGAACAGAAACACACAGCUGAGUUACAUUUUUAAAGACAUUUAUUUUGAAACAAAGCAUUUCUUGUAUAAAUUCAUGCAAUCAUCUUUAAUUUAUCUUUUCAUAUUGUUUUAAAAUUUGAAUCCUUGGUUGUCCUUAUUCAUUUCAUUUCAAUAAA